rnacentral:rRNA from 1 species
GAUGAACGCUGGCGGCGCGCCUAACACAUGCAAGUCGAACGAUUAAAGCACCUUCGGGUGUGUAUAAAGUGGCGAACGGCUGAGUAACACGUGGGCAACCUGCCCCUCUCAUUGGGAUAGCCACGGGAAACCGUGGAUAAUACCGAAUACUUCGGGACUUCCGCAUGGAAGACUCGAGAAAGCUCCGGCGGAGAGGGAUGGGCCCGCGGCCUGUUAGCUUGUUGGUGGGGUAAUGGCCUACCAAGGCAAUGAUGGGUAGCUGGGUUGAGAGACCGACCAGCCAGCUUGGGACUGAGACACGGCCCAGACUCCUACGGGAGGCAGCAGUGGGGAAUCUUGCACAAUGGGCGCAAGCCUGAUGCAGCGACGCCGCGUGCGGGAUGAAGGCCUUCGGGUUGUAAACCGCUUUCAGCAGGGACGAGGCGAAAGUGACGGUACCUGCAGAAGAAGCCCCGGCUAACUACGUG